CGGCCGCGCGACGGAAACUAGAACAGCUAGAGUAUGGUAGGGGCGAGAGGGAAGUUACCUGGUGUAGCGGUGAAAUAGCGUAGAUAUAGGAAGGAACGACCACGUGGCGAAGGACGGACCACCUCGGGCGUAAUACUGACACUGAGGUGCGAAAGACGUGGGAGGCAACAAGGAUUAGAUACCUCGGUAGUCACGCCGUAAACCGAAUGUCGACUAGCCGUUCGGGUAGUCCUUCGUAGAUCUUAGUUGGCGGCAGCUAACGACAUUAAGUUACGACCGCCCUCGGGAGGUACGGCCGGCCAAGGUUAAAACGUUAACAAAUAGAAUUAGUACGGGNGGGCCCCGCACAAGCGGUGGAGCAUGUGGUUUAAUUCGAAGCAACGCGAAGAACCUUACCAGGCCUUGACAUGCAGAGAAC
rnacentral:rRNA from 1 species